UUUGUCCCUUUUAGUAGAGAGUGUGAAAGAUACGAAAGACACGGUUGAAGAAAGGGCUAUAGUUAAAACCAAAUCAAGCUUAGUUGUUGGGCGUGAUUAUGAUUCAGUUAACGCAACAUAAAGAGGCACAUAUCAUGAAAAUUAAGAUUGAUCAUGAGAUUGUUCGUAUCAUUUAUUCGCCAACGUGAAAAAUUUUGAUUUCCUCAUUCCUAAACAUUUGUUUGAAG
rnacentral:lncRNA from 1 species